rnacentral:tRNA from 1 species
GGAGAGAUGCCCGAGAGGCCGAAGGGGCACGACUGGAAAUCGUGUGUUCCGACUAAAAUCGGAACCGAGGGUUCAAAUCCCUCUCUCUCCGCCA